UACGUAGGGGGCAAGCGUUGUCCGGAAUCACUGGGCGUAAAGCGCACGUAGGCGGCUUUUUAAGUCAGGGGUGAAAUCCUGGAGCUCAACUCCAGAACUGCCUUUGAUACUGACGGUCUCGAGUCCGGGAGAGGUGAGUGGAACUGCGAGUGUAGAGGUGAAAUUCGUAGAUAUUCGCAAGAACACCAGUGGCGAAGGCGGCUCACUGGCCCGGUACUGACGCUGAGGUGCGAAAGCGUGGGGAGCAAACAGG
rnacentral:rRNA from 1 species